rnacentral:rRNA from 1 species
CGGUGGUCACAGCGACAGGGAAACGCCCGGCAUCCCAUCCCGAACCCGGAAGCUAAGCCUGACAGCGCCGAUGGUACUGCACCCGCCAGGGUGCGGGA